CCUUAUACAUGCAGUCGAACGGUAACAUUGGUGCUUGCACCAGAUGACGAGUGGCGCACGGGUGCGUAACGCGUAUGCAACCUACCUUUUACUAGAGUAUAGCCCAGAGAAAUUUGGAUUAAUCCUCUAUAAUAUCUUAGAAUCUCAUGGUUCAUAGAUUAAAGUUUUAACGGUAAAAGAUGGGCAUGCGUCCUAUUAGUUUGUAGGUGAGGUAAUGGCUCACCUAGACUACGAUAGGUAGGGGCCCUGAGAGGGGGAUCCCCCACACUGGUACUGAGACACGGACCAGACUCCUACGGGAGGCAGCAGUAAGGAAUAUUGGACAAUGGACGAAAGUCUGAUCCAGCCAUGCCGCGUGCAGGAUGACAGCCCUACGGGUUGUAAACUGCUUUUAUGCAGGAAGAAACACUCCGACGUGUCGGAGCUUGACGGUACUGUAAGAAUAAGGAUCGGCUAACUCCGUGCCAGCAGCCGCGGUAAUACGGAGGACCCAAGCGUUAUCCGGAAUCAUUGGGUUUAAAGGGUCCGCAGGCGGUCUUUUAAGUCAGAGGUGAAAGCCUACAGCUCAACUGUAGAACGGCCUUUGAUACUGAAAGACUUGAGUUAUUGUGAAGUGGUUAGAAUGUGUGGUGUAGCGGUGAAAUGCAUAGAUAUCACACAGAAUACCGAUUGCGAAGGCAGAUCACUAACAAUAUACUGACGCUCAGGGACGAAAGCGUGGGGAGCGAACAGGAUUAGAUACCCUGGUAGUCCACGCCGUAAACGAUGGAUACU
rnacentral:rRNA from 1 species